rnacentral:rRNA from 1 species
CCUACGGGGGGCAGCAGUGAGGAAUAUUGGUCAAUGGCCGGAAGGCUGAACCAGCCAUGCCGCGUGAAGGUCAGUGCCCUAUGGGCGUUAAACUUCUUUUGUGCGGGAGCAAUAAUGGUCACGUGUGGCCAGACGAGAGUACUGUACGAAUAAGCAUCGGCUAACUCCGUGCCAGCAGCCGCGGUAAUACGGGGGAUGCAAGCGUUAUCCGGAUUUAUUGGGUUUAAAGGGUGCGUAGGCUGUGAGGUAAGUCAGCGGGGAAAUGCCCCCGCUCAACGGGGUGAAGUGCCAUUGAUACUGCCUUGCUGGAAUGCGGAUGCCGUGGGAGGAAUGUGUGGUGUAGCGGUGAAACGCAUAGAUAUCACACAGAACACCGAUUGCGAAGGCAUCUCACGAAUCCGCGAUUGACGCUGAUGCACGAAAGCGUGGGUAUCAAACAGGAUUAGAUACCCGGGUAGUC